AUUGUCAUUGUUAAUUAUUCUUUGCAUAUUUGGGACUUUUUUCAACAUAUAAGCCUUACUGCCCCCUUGGUGAUACGACCCUGAUGUGACCAGAGGCUCUCCAUUCUCACAUCUUGUUUCUUUCACCUUGCAAAGAGCCUCUGGAACCAGGGUACUCUUAAAGUAACACACAGACAAAGCAAAUAAUAUAAUGCUUUUAAAAAUCUUCAAUUUCAAAAGAGGCAGUAAAUUGGUAGGGAAAUCUUUCAAUAAUAUCCUGUGGUUAUGGUAAACUAUGUACCGGUACCAGACAAUAUAAAUCCCUGCCUGCUCAAAUCUAGGAAGUGUGGGGGCCAUUGGGCAAAGCAGGGUCACUGAAGGCCUGUUUAUAUGAUCCUGCCUAGACGGGAUGUUUUCAUCCCGCCUAGAUGGGAAAUUCGCCUAGUGUUUAUAUGGACAAAAUACAUUGCCUGGAUGAAGCCAUUUAAGUGAGCUUGACGUCAUAUUUUUGUUGCAAUAAAGGCAUUUACGCAUGCUCAAAAGGGAAAAGUUCAUACCACCUAGCUGGGAUGAAGUGUUUAUAUGGGAAUUUUUCGUUCCAGCUAGGCGGGAUGAAGUGUUUGUAUGGGAAUUUUUCAUCUCGUUUAGGCGGGAUCC